GAAGGUGGCCUGUGAGGGUUGCUGGAGGUAUCAGAAGUGCGAAUGCUGACAUAAGUAACGAUAAAGCGGGUGAAAAGCCCGCUCGCCGGAAGACCAAGGGUUCCUGUCCAACGUUAAUCGGGGCAGGGUGAGUCGACCCCUAAGGCGAGGCCGAAAGGCGUAGUCGAUGGGAAACAGGUUAAUAUUCCUGUACUUGGUGUUACUGCGAAGGGGGGACGGAGAAGGCUAUGUUGGCCGGGCGACGGUUGUCCCGGUUUAAGCGUGUAGGCUGGUUUUCCAGGCAAAUCCGGAAAACCAAGGCUGAGGCGUGAUGACGAGGCACUACGGUGCUGAAGCGACAAAUGCCCUGCUUCCAGGAAAAGCCUCUAAGCAUCAGGUAACAUCAAAUCGUACCCCAAACCGACACAGGUGGUCAGGUAGAGAAUACCAAGGCGCUUGAGAGAACUCGGGUGAAGGAACUAGGCAAAAUGGUGCCGUAACUUCGGGAGAAGG
rnacentral:rRNA from 1 species